CUUCGCCUUAGGUUAAGUGGUCCCGCGAGCCCAACACCCAUCCUCAUACUCGGAGGUACUACGCCCCUCGGGCCAAAUCAUAGUUAGUCGCCUCGCAUUGUGGCAUAGAGAGGGCCUCACCUGUCACUCCCAUUCUGUCUUAUGUUUAACUGUCACGAGAGGCCGACACCCUGCCACAACGUUCAGUGGCCACGCUAUCCCCUUGCGCCAACGCAUAGAUAGAGCCUCUCAAGCCACUUGGCAAUUAGCAGGGCCUCACCUGUCCCCAACCUAGAGUAAUCGUUGCGCUCCAUUGUGGCACUAGCUAGUCAGCCAGCACACACACGUAGUCAUGCAUACCCAGACCCCGUCAUGCAUACCCACUAUGUUUCUUAUCUGAUAAUCAGAUCAGGUAUCCUAGCGGAUUAUUUCGUGCAUCGUUAUAACUUUAGUUUCGAUGGUGAGUUUAUAUAUCCUUGCAGUAAUAUAAACAGUAUGUCAGAACUAUCAUACAAGGCAAUCCAGGCUUUUGAUACGUCAAUCACUUACGGGCUAAGGGUCUACUACAUAAUUAGAUAUAGCAGUACAAGCAUGAUACCAAAUAUAUAUAUAUGUUUCCCCAACUUGUCACUCACUUUGUGAUCCUUUUAUACCACAUACACUAGGUGCCCAUAUCAAUGUAGUAGAAACCAAGAUCAUUGGUUUCCUCCUACAAUUGUUUCAGACAUAUUAUUCUUACAUACAUUUUCCGUUAAAUACGUAUGUUGGCCACACGCUGUCUUUUACGUUUACACGUGGUACAUAUUCAGGCCUUGUAUCGGAC